rnacentral:rRNA from 1 species
UACGGAGGGGGCUAGCGUUGUUCGGAAUUACUGGGCGUAAAGCGCGCGUAGGCGGACCUGCAAGUCGGGGGUGAAAGCCCGAGGCUCAACCUCGGAACUGCCUUCGAUACUGCGGGUCUCGAGUCCGGGAGAGGUGAGUGGAAUUCCUAGUGUAAGAGGUGAAAUUCGUAGAUAUUAGGAAGAACACCAGUGGCGAAGGCGGCUCACUGGCCCGGUACUGACGCUGAGGCGACGAAAGCGUGGGGAGCAAACAGG